rnacentral:tRNA from 1 species
UGGGGUGUGGCUCAGUGGGAGAGCACUUGUCUAGCAUGUGCAAGGUCCUGGGUUCCAUGCCCAGCACCACGG